UACGGAGGGUGCGAGCGUUGCUCGGAAUCACUGGGCGUAAAGCGUACGCAGGCUGUUUCGUAAGUCGGGUGUGAAAGCCCGGGGCUCAACCCCGGAAUUGCGCCCGAGACUGCGGAGCUUGAAUGCGGGAGAGGGAAGCGGAAUUCCUGGUGUAGAGGUGAAAUUCGUAGAUAUCAGGAGGAACACCGGUGGCGAAAGCGGGUUCCUGGCCCGACAUUGACGCUCAUGUACGAGAGCGUGGGGAGCAAACAGG
rnacentral:rRNA from 1 species